GCUCCCACCCACGGGCUGGGCGGAGUGCCCCCACCUCACACCCACCAGAAACACCCCUUUCCAAGAGCCAGGGGAAGCCAUCUUUCAGCAGACGCACUGCACCAAGACCAUCUCUGAGGAGGAAUUCUGGGGAGGUGUUCCCUGCAUUGCAGCCAUCAUAAGGGCCCCCCUCACCUCAGCUGUUUGAAGACCCAUUGUUGGGAUGCAACGUAUAUCGAUCCAUAACAGAAAAUGAAGAUUGACGUCCACACAGAAAUCAGUGUACACUAUUUAAUGUACAAUCGACAGCAUUAACA